rnacentral:rRNA from 1 species
CCCUUAGAUGUUCUGGGCCGCACGCGCGCUACACUGACGAAUGCAACGAGCUUAUAACCUUGGCCGAAAGGUCUGGGUAAUCUCCAAAUUUCGUCGUGAUGGGGAUAGAUUAUUGCAAUUAUUAAUCUUCAACGAGGAAUGCCUAGUAAGCGCAAGUCAUCAGCUUGCGUUGAUUACGUCCCUGCCCUUUGUACACACCGCCCGUCGCUCCUACCGAUUGAAUGGUCCGGUGAAGCGUUCGGACCGUGGCCUUUGGACGGUUCGCCGUCUGUUGGCUGCGGGAAGUACGUUAAACCUUAUCAUUUAGAGGAAGGAGAAGUCGUAACA